AUUGAACGCUGGCGGCAGGCCUAACACAUGCAAGUCGAGCGGGAACUUCGGUUCUAGCGGCGGACGGGUGAGUAAUGCGUAGGAAGCUACCCGACAGAGGGGGAUACCAGUUGGAAACGACUGUUAAUACCGCAUAAUGUCUACGGACCAAAGUGUGGGACCUUCGGGCCACAUGCUGUCGGAUGCGCCGACGUGGGAUUAGCUAGUUGGUGAGGUAAUGGCUCACCAAGGCGACGAUCCCUAGCUGGUUUGAGAGGAUGAUCAGCCACACUGGAACUGAGACACGGUCCAGACUCCUACGGGAGGCAGCAGUGGGGAAUAUUGGACAAUGGGCGAAAGCCUGAUCCAGCCAUGCCGCGUGUGUGAAGAAGGCCUUCGGGUUGUAAAGCACUUUCAGUAGGGAGGAAGAGUUGAGUGUUAAUAGUACUCAGCUUUGACGUUACCUACAGAAGAAGCACCGGCUAACUCUGUGCCAGCAGCCGCGGUAACAC
rnacentral:rRNA from 1 species